ensembl:lncRNA novel transcript
GGGAAAGUGGAAAACUAUCGGCGGUGGCCCAGGCUCGGUGGCUCACUCCUGGAAUCCCAGCACUUUGGGAGGCCAAGGUGGGGGGAUCACGAGGUCAGGGGAUCGAGACCAUCCUGGCUAACAGGUGAAACCCUGUCUCUACUAAAAAUACAAAAAAAUUAGCCAGGCGUGGUGGAGGCGCCUGUAGUCGCAGCUACUCGGGAGGCUGAGGCAGGAGAAUGGCGUGAACCCAGGAGGCGGAGCCUGCAGUGAGCCGAGAUUGCUGCACUGCACUCCAGCCUGGGCGACAGAGGAAGACUCCGUCUCAAAAAAAAAAAAAAAAAAAGAAAGAAAACUACAGGCGGGGACGGCUUCUCGGUAAUCUCUGAGCUUCGGGAGAAGUUGGAUCCUGCAGCAUUGUGUUUUGCCAUCACUGUUGCAGGCUUUCCAAGUAAAGUUAAAAAGUAAAGGACAAGCAAGGCAAUUGAAAACACUGCCUCAGUAUCUGAACACAAGAUUGGAGAGGACGAAGGCCCUGAGGUCCAAGAACAUUGAAACCUGACAGUGGAUGCCAAUGGCUGUGGGGAGGAGCUGGGCGAGGCGCCCAGGUUGUCGUCUGCCCGGCAACGUGGGAGCCUGCAGCACUUUCCUGCAAAGCUCUAUUUUAUCUUUUUAAAUAAAAAUGGUUACUGAUAAGUGA